rnacentral:rRNA from 1 species
GGGAAUCUACCUCUUUGUGGGGAAUAACGCUCCGAAAGGAGUGGUAAUACCGCAUGAGACCGUGGACUGGGAUGUCCAUGGUGAAACCUGGGGACCGUAAGGCCUGGGGCAAGGAGAGGAUCCUGCGUCUGAUUAGCUAGUUGGCGGGGUAAUGGCCCACCAAGGCGACGAUCAGUAGCCGGCCUGAGAGGGUGAUCGGCCACACUGGAACUGAGACACGGUCCAGACUCCUACGGGAGGCAGCAGUGGGGAAUUUUGCGCAAUGGACGAAAGUCUGACGCAGCAACGCCGCGUGGGUGAUGAAGGCCUUCGGACUGUAAAACCCUGUCGUCAGGGACGAAGGUUUGGGGGUUAAUAACCCUUAAGCUUGACGGUACCUGGAGAGGAAGCCCCGGCUAACUCUGUGCCAGCAGCCGCGGUAAUACAGAGGGGGCAAGCGUUAUUCGGAAUUAUUGGGCGUAAAGGGCGCGUAGGCGGUUUUUUAAGUCAGAUGUGUAAUCCCCGAGCUCAACUUGGGAACUGCAUCUGAGACUGGAAGGCUAGAGUACUGGAGAGGGUGGUGGAAUUCCUCGUGUAGCGGUGAAAUGCGUAGAGAUGAGGAGGAACACCAGUGGCGAAGGCGGCCACCUGGACAGUAACUGACGCUGAGGCGCGAAAGUGUGGGUAGCAAACAGGAUUAGAUACCCUGGUAGUCCACGCUGUAAACGAUGAACACUUGGUGUGGAGGGAGUUGACCCCUUCCGUGCCGGAGCUAACGCGUUAAGUGUUCCGCCUGGGGAGUACGGUCGCAAGGCUGAAACUCAAAGGAAUUGACGGGGCCC